UGUUGUUCUUUGGGGUGGCUCCAGGAGACAAUGCCAUCGUAUUGCCUGACGUCCUUGUUACACAUCUCUGCUGGCCCAGCUGGCUGCAAAAUUACUUCCAAGGACACCAGGGUUUUAUGAUGAUGCUCCUGGACUACCCCUCUCAUGAAUUUACUGGGCCUUGUCCUGGAAGAUCUUUGCUAAUUGAAGACUUUUAUUAGUGGCCUGUAGUAUUGCAAGGCUUGUUUAUCUCCCAUUGAAAUGGAUUCUUUCUUUUGGGUCUUAUGUCUGAGUUAAGGACAAGGAUUUGGAAGGUUCCUUCUCUGGGGCUGUUGCUGAUCCUCUACAAGUGAAAUUGUCCCAGCCUGUGCUUCCUGGAGCUUUCCUGAUCCUGAUCCUGCCCAGAGGCUUUUCCUGCUUUCACAAAACAUCAUUCAGUUCAAGGGGUUUUACUGGAAAUUUGGUGCUGAGGCAUCUCUUUUCCUUAACAGCUGUGAAGAUUCCCUACAGGGAGCCUCUCUGAACUAUGGUAGCUAUGGUCCAGAAGGAAAAAGAGCCAUUCAAGAAUAAAAUAAGGGAUGAGAUACUUCAUUCUGCUUCUGUAAAAGGUAAUGAUAAUUAUUAUGGAAAGAACUUGUACUAUACUGAAGGAGAUUAGUAUUUUUUUAAUUAAAAAAAAAAAA